GACUGGUCCUUUGACCUGCGGUGCUUCGGCUAUUCACAGUAAGGUUAUUGUAGUUUGACUGCACAUAUACAUGGUCUCUAGUCAUAUGGAUCCUUGUUGUGUAGAUUGGCUGCAGUAGGUUCGCUGUAGGAGUAGGGUAUGCACUUACAUGGAAUCUAUCGACCUUGAUAGAUGAGGAGAGAUCCUAUGUGAUUUAUAAGACUGAGUUCUAAGACCUUGGCUAGGGCAGAAUAUAUAGUGGAAAAGAGUUUUCUACUCUCGAACUCAAGUCGAAUAAAUCUAGACAUAUGACAGACGACGGGGUUUGACGAGUUAUCCAUGACCUCCGGUCUGUAGGGAUCCACGAUAGAAGGACUGUAUCAUACGAUAACUGCACCUAAAGGUUCAUCAUUCUAUUCUGCUGGGUGGCCACUACAUACUGCUAGGUGUCACUGGUGGAUGGUGAGACUCACAGGGAUCAUCUUGAUGGUCGAUAAUCCCUGGUGAGUUGAGUUGAAAUUGUUUCAACCCAUUAAAAGAAGUUUUCAAUGAUAUUGUGAUAGAGAUCGCAAUAUAUCUCACUACCAGUCAGAAUAGAACCUAUGGGGUCACACACAUUAGAGGUAUUGACCGAUCCGAUGGUUGAAUGUGAUUAGGAAUCA
rnacentral:lncRNA from 1 species